rnacentral:miRNA from 1 species
GCUUCUUCACAACACCAGGGU